AUCAAUUGAUACUUCCGAGCAUCCCUUGCCCCUUGCACGAAUGAUUGACUUCAUAAUAGCCAUUUUACCUGUAAAAAAGAAAACAAUUAAAAUCAGAUGACAAAUGUAAAAACAAUUAAAAUCAUAAAAGUCAUUUUACCUGUAAUAAAGAAAACAAUUAAAAUCAACUGACCUGUACCUUUUUCACUAAGUUCUCUUUCUUUUCUUGGUUGGAAUAUGUUCUACAUGUCUCUUAACAACACGGACGGUUGGAUUGAUCCAAAUACCCUCAUU
rnacentral:lncRNA from 1 species